UGGUUUCCUAUUUCCCAAUUGGCCACCCAUUACCACCCUUCAUCGUAUGCGUCUGGAUCCUUCUUUUUUUAACACGUUUCUCUCCCCACCUCUCCCUCUCUACCUCUUUCUUGUUCUCUUGGUCACCCUUUAUAAAUAGAGGGGCUUGCCCCCCGGGGGCACAAUUUUUUUUCCCUUUUUUGGGAUUAAAAUCCGCGAGGUGGGGUGGCCUUCUUCUGGGCAAAACCCAUGUACGAGAACUGCGGCAAAGAUUUUUUGAGGAUCUGAGGAGAGAAGAAACAAACGCAAGCAAAAAACUCACUUACAGAGAAAACCCACUUUGUGUAUAUUUUGGAUUGGGGGCAAGAGAGGUGUAGUUCUCUAGUAGAAUUGUCUGUGGAUCAGAUUGCUGUGGACCUGUUGAUUCUUCAACGUGUGAUUCAGUAGAGGUGAGGAUCCGGUUGCUGGAUUCUGGAAAUU